GGCAUUGUCAAAAUAUAUGGACUCUUUCAGAGUUAUUACAACAACAUUGAGAGUAACUUCAACACACCUAGAGUAAGAUAUCACCCAGUGUAAGUGUACAAUUUCAGAGUUAAAUGUACAGUGUAAAAUUUACAGUGUUAAGGCACAUGGACUCUUUCAGAGUUAUUUCAACAAAAGCAAGAGUACUAGUGACUGAAGGCAGGUGUUCCUGAGAAAUAACUCUGAAGCUCUGGAAAGCCCCGCCCCCAUUGUAUCUUCCUAACUCAGGAACACGUCCACUUUGCUCACAUUGCCGUGUUCCCAUGGUCGUCAUCAGUCUCGGUGCCAUCAUGUUGAUAAAAACUAAAAUAAAUAUGGAACAAAAAUAUGUCAGGAUAACUGAGCCAAACUUGGAAGAAUUCUUGGAUGCUGCUUUCAUGAAGUUCUCCAUCCCACCACCCACUGAAGGCGUCACAGUGUAUGAUGAGACGGGAACGGAGGUGGACGCAGACGUCUUUGAAGACGUUGCACAGCAGCCAAAUGCUGGUGUAUUUACAAUCAGAUUCAAACACACAUUGGAGGGAGCAACAGGCAGUUCACUGCCUGAUGCAGCACUGGAACUUUCUAACUACAACCCUGAAGAUUCAGUCAUCCUAGAACUUUUAUCUUGCACUUCUGAUGACACCAUCAUCCUGGAGGAGGAUUCAAGUCCAUCUGCAAAAAGGCAGAAACAAGACCGAGAUGCCAAACACUUAGUUGAAUCAGCCCUGGCUAAGAAACCAGGUGGAGACUGCAUUGUGAAAGAAUACAACAGGACAAAAGGUCUAACUGACUCUUCACGGCGACAGAUGGUGAACAUCCUUGCUGCCGACAUGACUGAAACUCAUGGGAUGGCACCGCCACGGCAUGUCAGAGAGAUGUAUGCCAAAGGCAUAGUUUCCAUGUUCCCGUACCUGAUGGAUCCAUAUUCCAAAAAUGGAUAUGAACAUUUCUAUGAUGGUGAGAGUGGCACUGGUUAUUUAGCAUUGAGGCUCAAAACAAUCCAGAGGAGCAAUGCUACAUCAGCGACCAGAACUUCUCCUCGUCAGACUGGUGGAGGGCCGAAAGCUAAGAGAGAUGCAUUAAGAAGUCCUGAGAUGACCCUGACUGAAGAGCAAUCCAAGGAGGCCAUGUCAUUCAUGAAGUAUUCUUCUGAUGAGGCCACUAUCAAGCAAAAGAUGAAGAUUACAUUUGAAUAUCGUCGUCAGAUCGUCCUCGAUGAAGAGAAAUCUUCAGACGUCCUGACUGAAUUUCCACGGUUCCGAGACGUCAAAGGCCUGGUAGAGCAAGACUUCAUCUUGCAGUUUGGAGAAGAUGUGGCUGCAAAGUUUUUGGAAAGGUGGCCUACUACAUUCAAACAAAAGAUCAUCCAGCAGAGCAAGGCUCUCCCUACAACAAGUGAACUUGAGGAACUGAUUUAUUGUGCAGAAGCUACCUCAAAUGAAAGGGAAGGGGAUGAGGCCUCUCUUGGCUCUGGAUGGGACAGUGAUCUUUCCUCAAUUAUCCUCCUCCUCCACCUGAUUCCUCCAUCAGCCCAAGGCCGAAAAAGACCUGGCAAGGUGUCAGCAACCCAGGCUGAAAAACAUCUGGUUGUGUUCAUGAAGAGUGGAACGAGCGUCCAGGAACACGUUGAUGCCAUCACCAGCUCCACUCAGCCCUAUCUUCUUGCCAUUGGGAUGAAUAGGGCCACCAUCCAUGAGUUCUUCAUCGUGAUUGACAAGCAGGCCAUACCAUGCAGGUCAACCAGUUCUCUUGGAGCUUUCGACAAACUCUUUAAGACACACUUUGUGUUUGGUAUCAUGUACAAUCAGAUGCUCCAAAACAUGUACACCUUUGUACAGACCACUGUGUUCAACAUAGACGUAGGCAAAGUCCGGGAGAGCCCUCGUGUCGCAGAGAUUCGCGCUAGACUGCUACAGUAGUUUGUGUAUAAAUUAACUCAGAAUGGGGAUGAUUUGUUUUGUUUGCCGGACACAUUUUGUGAGUGUCAUCAUGCUGAUCAGGCAUAUAAGAUUGAUUCAUGGUUU
ensembl:lncRNA